AUUGAACGCUGGCGGCAGGCCUAACACAUGCAAGUCGAGCGGAGCGGCGGACGGGUGAGUAAUGACUAGGAAUCUGCCUGGUAGUGGGGGAUAAAGUCCGGAAACGGGCGCUAAUACCGCAUACUAUCAGAUGAGACUAGGUCGGAUUAGCUAGUUGGUGGGGUAAAGGCCUACCAAGGCGACGAUCCGUAACUGGUCUGAGAGGAUGAUCCGUCACACUGGAAAUGAGACACGGUCCAGACUCCUACGGGAGUCAGCAGUGGGGAAUAUUGCACAAUGGGCGCAAGCCUGAUGCAGCCAUGCCGCGUGUGUGAAGAAGGCCUUCGGGUUGUAAAGCACUUUCAGCGGGGAGGCGUUACUCGCAGAAGAAGCACCGGCUAACUCCGUGCCAGCAGCCGCGGUAAUUC
rnacentral:rRNA from 1 species